CGAGAAUACCCGGCGAAUUUAAGCAUAUUACUAACCGGAGGAAAAGAAACCAACAGGGGACGUCCUCAGUAGCGGCGAGCGAAGCGGACGAUGCCCAAACCGAACCGCGGUUCCCGAGGGGGCCGCGGAGUGUGGAGAGGAUGAGCUCGCGAGGGGGCGGGACGGGUUCCAAUCCGUCUGGAAGGGCGGAGGCACGGAGGGCGAUUCCCCGUACGUGCUCGGUCCGUCCCCGACGAGCGAACGCAUCGGAGAGUCGGGCCGCUUGAGAGUGCAGCCCGAAUGGGGUGAUAGGUCUCAUCCAAGGCUAAGUACGUGGGAGACGCCGAUAGCGAACAAGUACGGCGACGGAAAGGUGAAAAGAACCUCGAAAGGGGGGGUCAAAAGCGCUCGAAAUCGUAGAGGGG
rnacentral:rRNA from 1 species